rnacentral:lncRNA from 1 species
AAUUCCAAAUAGUUUUAUUUUUCAUGCACAAUUUUCCCCGGUUCAAAGGACUGUUACUUUAUUAUUGUAUUCAACACUCAUCGUGUGUAUUCCUACAGAUACUACCGACUCCAUACCAACAGUUUUUUUUUUUCUGGCAACAUUCAAUGAUCCAUAAAUGUAUAUAUAGAAAAUCUUCCUCCUGUGCCCCUUCCCCCUCUUUCACUCCUUCCCCUGUGGACACAUUCUAGUCCCGUGGCAGGGCUUUAUUUAAAAAGAUGGUCAAGUUUGUAAAAUAUUUGUUUGUGCUUUUUUUGUUGUUGUUGCUCCUCCUCCGUACUUAGGCCCACCACACGAGUUUACAGGUCUGUGACGAUAUCCUUAACUCAGUAAAGAUGGGAAAGGUAAAGAAAACAAGUAGACAGUAGGGGCUCUUGAGAGCAUUGAAAGGUAGGACAGCCAUUAUGCAGGAAGGUUAAAAACAGGUUCCAUCCAUCGCGGCCAUUUGUUUUUAGCCUACGUUUCAGAUGCAUUCAGUUAGCGGACGUCUUUAAAUGAAAUGCAUAUAUAUGUUAUGGACUUAAUAUCGUGCCCAGGUAUGAAGACCUCGUUCACUUUUGCAUAACACGUAGAGGAAAUAGCUAGGUGAUAGAUGUGCUACGUUUUCAAAAAUUGCCUGACCAAGUUACAAGGAAACCCCUACACGCUUGUCCUCUCCACCCACCUACCACCCUGGAAAUCCAAUUCUUCAGGAACCACCUUCCUUCCUAAUUCUGCUCCUUGCUUUGCAGAGAGCCAUCAUGGUCAUGUCAUUCUGAGGUCACAUGUAUAAAAUUAGCCUUUGUGUAUGUAUGCCAUUUAAAGGUUCCCCCAACCCCAGGGGAAAAAGGAAGUAUCAUACUAUCGAGGAGACAGAAGUUAUAAGAAAUGCAUUUCAAAAUUUGGUCCGGAGUUCCAAAAUCCCAAUUGUGGCCAUUUUAGUUAUUACCAUCCUAUUGGUUCAUCCAGUGUUAAUGCACUUUCCACAGUUAGACGUGAUGUUAGUGUUAGACAAACGGGUUUCAUUAUUGCCUUCUCAAUGUUAAUUUAUUGCAUGGUUUAUUCCUUUUCUUUACAGCCGAAAUUGCUUUAAGUGAUGGUUAAAAUGACAAAUUAAAAUGUUAAUUUUUAUCGAUGUGAUUUGUAAUUAAGAUAUUUUGAUUUCAAUAACAAAAAAUAAUACACGAUUUUAAUCUGUGGAAUGUGUUUCUGAUCAUUUGCAGUUAAGGAAUUUAAAUAAAUCACAUGUUAACGAC